GCGGCACAGAGGUGCAAUUGGUGAAUCCUUAACAGUAGGAACAUGGACUGGCUGCAUGGAUGUAACGAUUGCUUUCAAUAUUGAUAGCUGCUCCGGCCAUCAGAUUUAACAUAGUGAAACAAGAACAAAAGAGAAUAAAACUCAACCCAAGACAACAAUGCAAAUGAUAUGGUUUCCUGGCUGGGACUCCUUCCUAGUGACAUCUGGAUCUCUCCCCCAACGCAGUCCCUAAUGGCGCUGACUCACUAAACUUUCUUCAUAGAUUUUCCAGAUACGUUCAAUUCUAUCUGAAUCAAAGGAGAACAUAAUAUAGACACUCAGGCUGAAAAUUUUACUUCAAGAUUUCUGAAACUAGAAGGCAACUAUCAUACUCCAUGUGAGUCUAUUGGGGGGCCAGGAACAUAACCCCGCCAGGCCAGCCUGCCUUGAAGCCAGCUGAGUAUGGACUGAAGCCUCCAGAAAGAAAUAAACAUUCCCAUCUCUAA